AAAAAAAGAAGAAAAAGAAAGUACAAAGAACAAGACGAAUGAUAGUAUAGUGGUGGCACGGCACGGAUGUUCGAUUCAUUCUUGCAUUGCCAUUCUCAUUUUU
rnacentral:ribozyme from 1 species